rnacentral:lncRNA from 1 species
CAGAUUUGUUAACUCUCCCUCCGUCCCCCAGGCUGGAGUGCAGUGGUGCGAUCUCAGCUCACUGCAAGCUGCGCCUCCCGGGUUCACGCCAUUCUCCUGCCUCAGCCUCCCGAGUAGUUGGAACUACAGGCGCCCGCCACCACGCCCGGCUAAUUUUUUGUAUGUUUCUUAGAAACGGGGUUUCACCGUGUUAGCCAGGAUGGUCUCGAUCUCCUGAUGUCGUGAUCCGCCCGUCUUAGCCUCCCAAAGUGCUGGGAUUACAGGCGUGAGCCACUGCGCCUGGCGCACAGAUUUGUUUUUAUAUAAUAUUUAAGGUUUUCUACAUACAAGUUCAUGUCAUCAGUGAACAGAUGAAUCUGGAUGACUAAACUCAUCAGGGACAAGGAUAAUAUGGCCUCUUGGGUGCUUUCCCUUCAAACUGAACUUUCCUAAAAUCUCAGAAGUAGCGGUACCAUACUCAACCUAGAAGAAAGAAACCAGCUGUGGUUUUUUGAGGCUGAAGAAUGAGAUUGUGGAGUGAUGGGAUGAGGAUAACUACAAAGAAAACUUUAGGCUCUUCACACUUGGCUCCUCACUCUUCUUUCUCCUGCUACCAUGUAAAGAAGGUCUUGAUUCCCCUCCAACUUCCGCCAUGAUUAUAGGUUUCCUGACGCCUCCCCAGCCAUCCUAAACUGUGAGUCAAUUAAUCCUCUUUUCUUUAUAAAUUACCCAGUCACAAGCAGUUCUUUAGAGUAGCGUAAAAACAAUUACAGUGAAUUAUAGAAAUAUUUUAUUAUUAUUAUGGUUGAACUGCUUUGAUUAUAUAUUUUUAUAAUGUAUCAAAGUAUAUGCCUAAAAUGUUUUUUUAAAAAUAGGGAAGCUAUACUUCAAUAAUGUAGAUUAUUUAAACAAUUAAGAAUAUGCGAAGUAGAAUGACUUUUUCUGUUGUUCUAAAAUCUUGCAAACAUAAAAUAGAAUAUUUGUAGUGUUGUGUUUGGGGACAUGUUACACAUUGAUGCCCUGGUUUGAGUACUAUGAAAACUAAAAAAUAUUUUCUAAAAAUCUCUCUUAAAUUCAUUAUGAAAUUUUACUUUAAUAUAAAAUUGAUUAAACCAUGUCCCCAUUUUAUUUCAAUAGGCAAUAUACUAUUAUUGUUCUUUAGAAAUAGGAUUGUCUCUGAAGUGAUUUGAGAUUAUGAUGUUAAGAUAAAAAAUGAACAUAAAUAUUUACACAAUAUUCAUGGCCUUUAUUCACUGGUUCAUUGCUUUUUAUUUUGUUUUGUUUGCUUUGUGAUCUACUUCUCAGUUCAGCAAAAAUGUCAAUUCCUUAAAUAAAC